UACGGGGGGGGCAAGCGUUGUUCGGAAUUACUGGGCGUAAAGGGCUCGUAGGUGGCCAACUAAGUCAGACGUGAAAUCCCUCAGCUUAACUGGGGAACUGCGUCUGAUACUGGAUGGCUUGAGUUUGGGAGAGGGAUGCGGAAUUCCAGGUGUAGCGGUGAAAUGCGUAGAUAUCUGGAGGAGCACCGGUGGCGAAGGCGGCAUCCUGGACCGGCAUUGACGCUGAGGCGCGAAAGCCAGGGGAGCAAACGGG
rnacentral:rRNA from 1 species